UACGUAGGCAGCAAGCGUUGUUCGGAGUUACUGGGCGUAAAGAGUGUGUAGGCGGUGCUCCAAGUCUGGUGUGAAAUCUCCCGGCUUAACUGGGAGGGUGCAUUAGAAACUGGAAUGCUAGAGGAUGGGAGAGGUAAGCGGAAUUCCUGGUGUAGCGGUGAAAUGCGUAGAUAUCAGGAGGAACACCGGUGGCGAAGGCGGAUCUCUGGGCCGAUACUGACGCUGAGGAGCGAAAGCGUGGGGAGCGAACAGG
rnacentral:rRNA from 1 species